UCAGAGAGGUGUAUUUCUGUUCUUCCAAAAUAUUGUUGUUUAUUUGUGUGUUUUUCACUUUUCGAAGAUCGAGUACAAUUAUGGAAAACUGCGACCUGCUGCCGAUUAUAUUCGAUAUUGUUGUGGGUUUAUUAUUUCCAAAGAGCGGAGAUGACGUUGAUAUGGAUGGAUCCGGAGAAAUGCCCUGAAUUCUUCAAAUUGUAUUGAUUCUUAAAUCAAUGCUUCUACAUAUACCUACACAAACCGUUCCUGAAAUUUACUAAUUUAUUAGCUAAAUCACUUGGUGCACAUAAUAUUAUUUAACAAUGAUAUACAAAUGUCAAUAAAAAAAUAACGGCCACCAAA